AACUCCAUACAAAUUUGAAUAAAAAAAUAAAACACGCAGCUUGUUGUUCAUUAAAUAUAUAACGUUAUUGCAGACAUUAUCAAUGCAAUCACCAUUACACACUGGACGUAACACAAACAAGGAGGCACACGACAAUACAAUGAAUAGUUUAUACGUAAGAGAACUCAUUUUCACCGGACGGACCCACACACACCGCAGAGACCCGGUUUCAAUAACGUGAAUAAUAAAAAUACAUUCUCGUGUCGUUAUUUACCCCCGUGGUUAUGAUUAUUAUAAUUUUAACGUUAGCUUAGUUGGCGUGCUCGAGAAAUUUUAUUCGACACAACUUUUUGGUAUUUUUCUUUAGUACUCAUAAUUUAUAGGAAUAAUUAAAUAGAAACGAAAAGAACUAUUUAGCGUCUGACUAGCUUUGAUAAAACAUAAAUAGCAAGUUAGACUAAGAAAAAAUGUAUUAACUUUAUUGUCAUUAUGUAAAUUGUAAAAUCAAAUCAUACGUCAUCUUGAUUAAGCUAUUAUUUAUUCGAUGUUGGAAUUAAACUUAUAUUUAAAUAUCGAAUAACAAUUUAAAAUAGGGCAAGUAAAUAACAAGCACAGAAUUUUUUUGAUACAUAUGCUUUAUUUUUAUAACUUCAGGCAAGACUCUAGUCUUAUUAUCCUAGACUAGAGUCAUGACGUGAGACGUGAGCAUCGAGCAUUGAAGUGUCUUGUCUAUAGGUAUUAGUACAUUAGCUUAAUUACAAAAUCAAAGGAGUUAUGUAGCAUGUGUAGUACACGAUUUUAUAAGACCUACAAAUAUUCGAAUUUCGAUGGUAGGCAAUUGUUUAUGAAUCGGUAAGACCGUGCAAUCCCGUAUGAGGGUCGUUUCGUCGCUUUCAAUUCGUGGCAGUCCCAGAAUACAGUACUAAAACAAACAGUGUAUAAAUUGUUUGAGUCAUGUUUGCAAUUAAAAUUAAGGUCGCGAUUAACGCUUCAUAAAAAGGAAGUCGUCUCUUUAAUUCGUCCCGGGCUCUUCUCGUGUUAACGCUCUGUUUGACACGUUCAGGACGAAAACAAUUCUAUUCAUGCGGAUUUUAAACGAAAGGACGCAUCUUUACGUAUAAAAUUAUGGGAUACAUAACGUAAAUGUCACCUGUAAAGUCGAAAUAUUGAGGCAAUAAUGUGAAAAUUAUUUGUGAGACUAUAAGCUGUUGGUAUCAACAAGAUCUAACAACCGACUGACUACCAAUGAAUAUUUUUUAGACGCUAGUGCGUCCGCUAGUCACAUCAGACAUGUUAAUGCUGCUAAAUUAAGUCGUCUAUUUUCACGGCUAGUUAGCUAGGCCGCGGGCGUGCGUGUGUGUCACGUAAAUCAGACGGAUAUCGCGCUUAGCAACAGACUGCUCCACAGACUAGCGCGGGCUUGCGCGGGCGACAUGCAGACCGGAGUGUAAAAAAAAACAUGGCGGGCUAUUCGCAUCAUACUUACCGGCCCGCGACGUAAUUUCUAGAUAAAAAGUUUUCGUUUCUUAUUUAACACGUAAAACUGCUUUUAUGGCUUAGUUUAGUUAUUUUUUUUAUUGUUAUCGAAUAACGUAUGUAACGAAUGACAAAAAUAAUGUAAUGACAAUAAAAAAACGCGAGGUUCAAUCGUAACAGUACUUUUAAUUAUGUAUACGUUUUGUUUCAAAUUUAUGUAAUUUUGUGUUCUAGAUUCCAUAUUUGAAUUGCUUCGUCCACUUUGUUUUGGAUUACUAUCAUUCAUAAUGACACGGAAGACAGAGACGCGUUCUAAAAUUAUCGCGUUUUUUGGGUUUGCUAAGGAAUGCAGUGACACAACUCAGAAAUCUAUAAAAAAUAUAUAUUAUGUGUAUAUUUAAAACGCUUUUAAUGUUUUAUCUGGGCACUUAUUUUAUUACUUUUAUAAUUUACGACGUUUCAAAUAUUUAACACUUUGGAUAUGUUAUAGAUGCUUCAGAAAAUACCACUGGCUAUAAUUUACGGUUGAUCUCACGGGCUUAGGGUUGCUAUAACAAAAUGCCUACUAAGAAUGUAUCUCACGUACCUACACGUCGUACGUAACGGACAGGUUGAUACGAUAGAUAUCUCGUUGAAUGGCGAAAAACUUACAUGAUUUAGUACUUUUUUUUUUAUUGCCAAGUUGUGUGGACGAGCUCUCAGCCCACCUGGUGUUAAGUGGUUACUGGAGCCCAUAUACAUCUACAACGUAAAUGCGCCACACACCUUGAGAUAUAAGUUCUAAGGUCUCAAGUAUAGUUACAACGGCUACCCCACCCUUCAAGCCGAAACGCAUUACUGCUUCACGGCAGAAAUAGGCGGGGCGGUGGUGCCUACCCUUGCGGACUCACAAGAGGUCCUACCACCAGUAAAAAUGUAUAAUGUUAUGUACCUAAUGUUAUUUACGCCAACAAAAUCGUUAUCAAGUAUUUGGCACAAACAAGCUGCGACGUUUUGCACUAUCGUGUGAAUUAUUCAGUUUGGCGACUCGUCUAACCGGUUCCGUUGGAAAGAAUACGAAAAAAAUAAAUAAAAGCGUUUUGUUAGAGUUCGUCGUAACAAAUGUAUGCGAUGUUGUAAAUUCGCUGUGUGGCGUUACAUUUCUUUUCGGAUUUUUUAAAAAAUACUAGUUAGAGGUCCCGCGGUAGUCGAAAUUCGACGAUAAUUAAUUGGAAUUUUAAGUUUGUACACUAUUAUGAUUGUAUUUUAUACUUCUAUAAUCACAAAUUUCGCCAAGGCUACACUAUAAAAAAAAUAAUAUUAAUAAAGACAAACAAUAUUUAAUCUAUUCUUAAUUUGAUCACAGCAUAGACCUAUAUAGUAGGGACACGACAUAUUGUUCUAUACGUACAAUUGCUUAUAUAAAUAGCACCCAUUUUGAAGGCACACACAUAAACAUAUAUCUAUCUCGUUCUAACUCAGCACUUUAACUCGCAGGAAAUCAAUAUAACAGUAUUUCAGUGCGUACAUAAAAUGAAAUAUGAAUAUACGUAAAUGUCUCCGUCUCCGUCUAAUGAGUCCGAAAAUCCGCCAUGUUUAGCGCGCCAAAUGUCAUUGUCACGUCAGUUCGGCCGUCUGUUUUGGGUUGUACAUUAUUUAUUGACUUUGAUAUCGAUUUAAUUUAAUUGCUUAUAUAAAAUUUCUAAUUUUAUCAUACUUAAAACAUACAAAAAUAAUAAUUAAAACAUGUUUUAUAGGAUCUCAAGAAAGUCGAUGCCCUAAAACUAUUAUCUAUAAAUAUUUAAAUUCAUUAUGGAGCCCUCACCCGAAACAUAGAUUAUACACUUAAUAUAUUUGAAUCCGAAAUAUCGGACACCAUUUUUCGGUCGGAAUCUAUUCAUCAUGACACUAAUCAUAAAUACCUCUUUAAAAUAUGUCAUCAAAACAUAUUUAGACAUUCUGUUUAGAUAUUUCGGGAAAAAGGCUACCGACAAAAUCUCUUCGGAACUAUUUAAAUAAUUAUAAUAAAUAAGAUUUAUUCCGCAGUGAGUAAAACACUAUUGUAAAUUCGUUAAAUAUUUAUUAAUUAAGUGAUUUCAGAGAGGAAGUCAUAAGGAAUGACGUUUGUAAUUUCAUUAACGAAUAAAAUAUGUUCUGUAGGUGUUUUUUUUUAUCAGGCGGUCCCUUGAUAAGUUUAAAAUUUGCGUGCGGUGUGGUAGUGCGGUGCACCUUACUUGAGGUGCGCUGCGGUAGUGUGUUACGGACUUUAGAGUCAGCAAAACAAUUAAAAUAGAUUGUAAUAGUCUAAGAAAAACACGUACUCAAAAUACGAUAACAUUCAGCAUGCUAGAAAUGGGCUGAUGGCACUGUACUACGCCAUAUCUUUAUGUUUUGCGGCAAACGACAACUUUAUAAAAUCAGUGUAGCAAAUUUUAAAAAUCGUCAUAUCGUUUACUUUGAAAAUUUGAAGCACGAACUCGUCUUAGAUUUCACAUAAUAUCUAAAUCACAUCUUUGCACAUAACAAUAUACUUACUUCCAAUUAAAGUAUUAAUUCUACAAAUACAUUCAUACUCAACAAUUAUUUAAAAUAAAAUAAGCCAAGAACGUUAAUCGAUAAAACCUACUAACAUUAAAAUCUUCUGGGCAGCACUAAAACCGCCAUGUUUUGUGGCCAGAUGACGUCACAGUGGCACGAUUUUUUUGUUGACGUUUCAUUUCCAUAGGUUUCCUACUUCAGUGGAUCACAGACGUCAAGAACAAAAGUUUGACAAUAAAUAGUAUGCAUGCAUGUGUGCGUCAAAUACAUGGUAUGUAGUGUGUGUAAUGUUUUCUUUAUUGAUUUAAUGUAUCUUUAAUGCAUUACUUAAAAAAAUAUUAGCAUUGUGCACUUCUCUAUAAUUCUCUAUAAAUGUGGAAAAUUUCAUACUCCUCCGUCCGCGCAAUUUUCGUAAAAAGGGAUACAAAGUUUUUGCUUCACGUAUUAUAAUAUAAAAAUGUAAUAAUAUACUGUUAGAACGAAAUAAUAUCGGGUUCAUAAAAAAUUAAACUAUCAGAAAUGCCAUCUGAUUUCGAUAACUAGUUUGAUCCAAUUUUUGAAAUUAAGUUUUUUUUUUAUUGGCAUAUUAAUUAUAACAAAUGUUGAUUGUACGAAAUAGAAAUGCUCCACAACCCUCGGUUGUGUUGGAUCUAGGUAGGAGGGUCAACUUGUGUAAACUUAACCCUUGAAAUUAAUUAAAAUACACAGUCUGUCCCCGGAGUCAUUAGGAUAAUUUAAUACAGUAAAUGAUCAUUAUUUCGGCCAGCAUUUUCCUUGACGCCAUUAAAAUACUGUUUUUAUACCAGGCAUAGUAUGCUGACGAAUGUUCGUGCAUAUAGUUGGCAAUUUAUGAUGAAAGGCGGUUGCAUGCAGCAGAGAUGCGAAUGUUGCGAUGGAUGUGUGGAGUAACGAGAAUGGAUAGAAUACUGAAUACGGAAUGAAUAUGUUAGAGGAAGUCUGAAAGUGGCACCUGUGACAGAGAGCUGAGGAGUGCGCGUUUGGGAUGGUAUGGACAUGUGAUGAGACGAAAUGAAAAUGAGGUUGGUAAGAGAGUGUUAACUAUGAAUGUGGAAGGAUAUAGAGGAAGAGCUAGACCUAAGAAGAAAAGGAUAGAUUGUGUGAAAGACGAUAUGGGUAAGAGGGGAGUGAGCGAAGAAAUGGUAUAUGAUAGAUGUAUGGAAGGAGAAAACAUGUUGCGCCGACCCCAGGUGACUGGGAGAAGGGCGGGAUAAUGAUGAAUGAUAGUUGGUAAUUUAUGAUCCUCUAGAAAUUUCCGUGAGCGUAGUUUAAAAAACAUAAGACAAUGUCAGAUUUCACACGAACUGUGAAUUCGACAAAAUUGAUCAAACCGUAAAGUAUUUCUUGCUACCCGCAUAAAGGAAAUUAAUUAAAUGGUAAUUAGUGACUUAUCACACAACACACUGGUUUUUGUGUUAACAAAAUUAUGAUAAUUUACUUAGUAGCAUCUCUUAUUCAUUGCCGUGCUUCGAUCAACAAUAGUAACUAGAUUUCGGGUCGGCGCAAAAAUCCGUCUCGUUAAAUAACAGCGCACUUCAAAUGUGAGCUCUUAUUUUGUCUAGUUCACUCCAGACACAGCCAAUGUCAACCCGUCUCACAAUGCCGCAGUGUGUAUUCAAAAAUUGCAAAAAAUGCCCGAAAAAGCAAUUUAACGGCCGGAGUAUCUUACUUUCGCUUUCCUAGCAAUCACGUGUGCAGAAUGGAUCUCGAUUGUCGCCAGAGAAAGAAGAGAUUACUUUUAUAAGCCAGCUAAGAACUCCACUCAUUGACACUGGACAUCUUUGCCUUCCGUGUUCACGGCUACUGAAACGUGGCCGAAGCAUUGUAAUAAAAAUAUCGCGCUCAAAACCGUUUAAA